GAAGCACUAUCGAGCCUAGAAGUCCUCGGGCCAGCAGUUUGCGGAUUGGUCGAAAGUUGGUGUCCGUCGCAGUUGCCGAGCGACCGCUCUGAUAAUUCCGUGGUCCCGGCAGGAGAAAGAUGAAGAAACUAAGGCUUGGAGAGCCUGAGCAGGUUGUACAAGACUGCCUUGUGAUCAGCACGAUGAAAGACUUCUUGGCAACUGGUUUCAGGAGAAAGAGAUCUUUUACAAAAGACCACAAGGCAUGCUCCACGCCUGCAGCCAAGGUGAUAAAACUCCUCAGGUGUUUUCCCCUUCCACUGCCAGUGUCGACCGAGCCCGGGCACGCGCCAGGAGGGCUUCCCAGUACCUGUGGACAAGUUCGUGAUUCAUCCAGCACUCAGAGACAAGCUGCUGCCUGGCACCCAGGUUCUUCUUGGCACCAGAGAUUCAACGAACUAGAGCACCAGAUGUCCACACACACACUGCUGGUGUUUUAGUGAGGAGGACAGAUUAUAAGGAAAAAAACCCAAGAACACGUCAUAAAUUCAAUAAUGGUAUGUUACAAGGAAAAUUAAUCUGGGUGUUACAGGACUGAGUGACUGGGUGGAAAACAGCAAAGAAGAUGGACAGACAAAACCUGAAUAAUGAGGAAGUUGGGUCCAAGUCUUGGCACUGUCCCUUCGUGUCAGUGUGAUCUCCAGCAAGAUUCUCAACCUCUCUGGGAUUCAGUGUCUUCUUUUGUGUAAUGAGGGUAUUAAUGGUAUCUACCUUUUAGGGCUAGCAUAAGAAGUAAAUUAGUUAAUAUGUGUAAAUGAGUCAGUGUAUGUCUGGCCUAUUGUGAAAACUCAAUAAGUAUCUCUUAUUAAGACAUGUUCCUCUUAGGAGUGUCCUUGUAUAUAUCUACAAAUUGAAGGCUCUGAGAAGUCCUGCAUUAAAACCUUACUGAACUUGUUUGGC